rnacentral:rRNA from 1 species
GCAGUCGAACGGUGAAGCCCCGCUUGCGGGGUGGAUCAGUGGCGAACGGGUGAGUAACACGUGAGCAACCUGCCCCUGACUCUGGGAUAAGCGCUGGAAACGGCGUCUAAUACUGGAUACGAGACGUGAUCGCAUGGUCAACGUUUGGAAAGAUUUUUCGGUUGGGGAUGGGCUCGCGGCCUAUCAGCUUGUUGGUGAGGUAAUGGCUCACCAAGGCGUCGACGGGUAGCCGGCCUGAGAGGGUGACCGGCCACACUGGGACUGAGACACGGCCCAGACUCCUACGGGAGGCAGCAGUGGGGAAUAUUGCACAAUGGGCGCAAGCCUGAUGCAGCAACGCCGCGUGAGGGAUGACGGCCUUCGGGUUGUAAACCUCUUUUAGCAGGGAAGAAGCGAGAGUGACGGUACCUGCAGAAAAAGCACCGGCUAACUACGUGCCAGCAGCCGCGGUAAUACGUAGGGUGCAAGCGUUAUCCGGAAUUAUUGGGCGUAAAGAGCUCGUAGGCGGUUUGUCGCGUCUGCUGUGAAAUCUGGGGGCUCAACCCCCAGCCUGCAGUGGGUACGGGCAGACUAGAGUGCGGUAGGGGAGAUUGGAAUUCCUGGUGUAGCGGUGGAAUGCGCAGAUAUCAGGAGGAACACCGAUGGCGAAGGCAGAUCUCUGGGCCGUAACUGACGCUGAGGAGCGAAAGGGUGGGGAGCAAACAGGCUUAGAUACCCUGGUAGUCCACCCCGUAAACGUUGGGAACUAGUUGUGGGGUCCAUUCCACGGAUUCCGUGACGCAGCUAACGCAUUAAGUUCCCCGCCUGGGGAGUACGGCCGCAAGGCUAAAACUCAAAGGAAUUGACGGGGACCCGCACAAGCGGCGGAGCAUGCGGAUUAAUUCGAUGCAACGCGAAGAACCUUACCAAGGCUUGACAUAUACGA